UCAUAUUUAACCUUUAUUUACUGAUUCCGCCUAUAAAUGGGAAGGAAAACAUUUUCCAGUCAACUCGUGCCACUAGAAGAGAGGAAAGAUCACGAGGCCAAAACGGGAAUGGAGAAGGGAGCACAAUUCUCUGCUUUGCUGUUACAAAUGGGAGUUUCCUGACAUGUCCACAAGACCUGUAACGAAGCUUGAGGUGAAGGCUGGCCAGCCUGAAGUCUGCCUGUCCAGCGUAGCGCAAGGCACAUCAAACUCAGCUUUCUGCCAAAGGGGGCCCACUGUGACAAAGAAAAACGUCUACCCAUCUCCUGCAAGAAUGAGAAAACUGAGAAUUUACUUGGUGGAGUCGCUGUCUUACAUCUGCAGUGUGUGCACGCAGGCUGGAAGAGCGGUGCUGCCAGGUAGCCUACUGGGUGUCCGCGCACUGCUGCAGCAGCUCGCCACUCGGUUCUCAGCACACACGCACAUGAAAAACCAUUUUCUCCUUCAGUAUUUACAACCAACCGCUCCGUUACCCACAUCCUGUUGACAGGAGAAACAAUGGAAGGCUCCUCAUAGCUUAUUACUCAUAAAACCUGACUCGUUCAGACAGAUCAUUUGCAGCUAGUGAACUCGAAGUGAUUACUUCUGACUGCAGUGUCCCUCAGAGCGUGAGGGCUGGGAGAGGUGGUGCUUCCAUUACUCCUCUUCAUUCACAUCUUUUUGGGCUUUAGUUCCCAGUUAGUUUCUUGGCUUUGAAUUUUUUGCUAUGUUUUUCUUUCAGAUUAUUCGACUCAUUCAGCUCCAAUAUUCUUUCGGCACAUGUAGAAAAAUUACUGUUAUCAAAAGCUGGUUCAGUUCAGCCAGUUCUCGUUCCAGAUGUUCAGAUGGUAAUUCCAUCACUUCAGAGAUUUUAUGUUCCCUUAAAACUUUAACAGCGAAUGCUUAUGGUUUUCACCUUAGAUGUUAUGAAACUCAUCUUUAAAAUUAUAUUGUCUCAAUAGCCCAUGGAAGAAUGUCACACUUGAUCUUAAAUAGGCUUAUCUCUAAGUAGGAUAUUGAUAUUACUAGUAAGUCCAGUUCAAGUGUUUGCAUAUGCAUACGUAAAAGCAUACGAAUAUACUUUAAAAGAAAACAAGAUUUUUCAAUGCCAUGUAGUCUGAAGUCCCGGCUUCCAGAGAUGAAGGGGAACAUUUAUGUUUGCAAAAUACCUGCCAAAAGAUAAUGGGUACUCCUGUCUCGUGCUCUAUCUUAAAUGUGAAAGCACCGUUCCUCAGACGCCUAAGAUGGACUGAAGCUUCUUUUGAAUGUUCCUUGUAUUUGUUUUGUAUAUGAAUUAAAGACCUCAUAUC
ensembl:lncRNA